CUGUGUCCAGCCCAGAGGUGAAAGCCAUCCAAAGCAGAGUAACUGUGCUUUGUGCCUAAGUUGAUACCUGUGGAGAGAAAAGGAGAGAGAGUGGGUAACACGAGGUGAGACCGAGGAAACCUGUACUUACGCCGCUGCCUGUGGAGAAAGAGAAAGCGAGUGAGCACCCAAGGAACGAACUGUGUGAACCAGUACUUACUGUGAGCUGCAAUCAGCGAAGAGGUGAGAGCAAAACCAAGCCGAAUUAACUGUGCUUUUGUGUCCCAGCCGUUGCCUGUGGAGGAAGAGAAAGAGAGUGAGCACCUCGAGAACGAACUGUGUGAACCAGUACUUACCGUGAGCUGUAUUCAGCGAAGAGGAGGAAGAAGGAGGGCGCUACGGAUACCUAAGACUCAGGCCGGGGCCCGAGUCCCACGCCCCGGAUCCCCGUGGCCCCCUUGCUCCCUGACCUCUUCCCGGCCAUAGCCCAUCUGGAGGGCCGAGUCAGAGUUUAGUUUUAAUUGCCCUUUCCCUAUUCCCC
ensembl:lncRNA